AACAAGAGGAUUUUCCACUAUCUGCUCCAAAUGCUGCAAGUUCUCCUCUAGCAGGGAGCAGAGCUUCCAGGCAUUAUGAUCUGUCCUGCCUGUCUGGAUGGAACUUCUGCUCCAUACUAUUGAAAUGAAGAGAAUCAGACUACCCACCUUGGAUUCUGAUAUGAAAGAUUUAGGAUAAAAGAGCUACUCCAUCAGCCUGGAAAGAUGACUCACUGGCAAACUCUUAGAUAAAGCUAAACUUCACACCAAACUGCAAGAGAGUCUAAGAAUGAAGAGAAAACUGCUUUGGCAAGCAACUACCUAGUCUCUGACACAGUCCACCUUUUUGGUCAGCCAAUAUCCAGCUCCGCCUUGUCUUCUUACACAAAGCCCAGGCAAAGCCCAGGAUUGCUAACUGUUGUACAAACCUGUUGGUCAGGCCUAGAUGGAAGCUUUCAACCCCAUUUCAAGUCAGCUGGCUUAUCCAACCCUGAAAGGUCUGUGAUCUCUCAGUUCUUUUUAUAAACAGGCCUCUGCUUGCAAAUGGCCAAUUCUUGCCUGAGCUCAUCUCUUUCUUGUAAUACUUUAUGAAAGGCAGCCAGUAGUAACUAAUGCAUAAAUUUUUCCAACCAACUGGCCCAAAGGUCAGUAGACCUUUUUACCAAAUGUUUCGCAAUGUAUAGCAUGAAUCUCCAUCUUUCUCCUCUCUGUUAUCAGGUUCCUCAGUGCCCAACCAUUAUGUCAAUGCCUUUUACCUUAAUUUUUUUCUUAUGGCAACAUUUUCUUCUGGAAUUAUUUCUGUACUGUAGCAAAUGCCCUAAACUGUGUAAAACAGUUUGAAGACACUAUUUUUUUUUCUAUUUUUAUCAUUUGUUCCUCGGUCUACUCAAUACGCUCCCUGCUUAAAACUCCCCUAGUGAUUUUCUGUUGGGUUUAAAAUAGAGUCUAAACUCUUUACCAUGGAUUACAAGCUUCUCUGUUAACUGGUUGUAACCUGCAUUUCCAGCCUCCUUUGGCGCCACUCUUGUCCCACCAACUAUAUCACAUUUCCUUUGGAACAUUUUCUGCUUCUUGAACUUGCCCAGGUCCUUGCUGUUAGCUGGUCCCUUUGCCUAUGAUGAUCUUCCUUCUUAGCAUCACUUGAACUGCAAAAAAUAAAAAAUGAAAC
rnacentral:lncRNA from 1 species